AUGGGCUCGAUAAAGGACAGAAAUGAUAUGGACCUAACAGAAGCAGAAGAUAUUAAGAAGAGGUGGCAAGAAUACACGGAAGAACAGUACAAAAAAGAUCUUCAUGACCCGGAUAAUCAUGAUGAUGUGAUCACUAAUCUAGAGCCAGAUAUCUUGGAAUGUGAAGUCAAGUGGGCCUUAGAAAGCAUCACUACCAACAAAGCUAGUGGCAAUGCCAAAGAAUGCUCAAACUACUGCACAGUUGCACUCAUCUCACAUGCUAGUAAAGUAAUGCUCAAAAUUCUCCAAGCCAGCCUUCAGCAAUACGUGAACCGUGAACUCCCUGAUGUUCAAGCUGGUUUUAGAAAAGGCAGAGGAACCAGAGAUCAAAUUGCCAACAUCUGCUGGAUCAUGGAAAAAGCAAGAGAGUUCCAGAAAAACAUCUAUUUCUGCUUUAUUGACUAUGCCAAAGCCUUUGACUGUGUGGAUCACAAUAAACUGGGGAAAAUUCUGAAAGAGAUGGGAAUACCAGACCACCUGACCUGCCUCUUGAGAAAUCUAUAUGCAGGUCAGGAAGCAACAGUUAGAACUGGACAUGGAACAACAGACUGGUUCCAAAUAGGAAAAGGAGUACGUCGAGGCUGUGUAUUGUCACCCUGCUUAUUUAACUUCUAUGCAGAGUACAUCAUGAGAAACGCUGGACUGGAAGAAGCACAAGUUGGAAUCAAGAGUGCUGGGAGAAAUAUCAAUAACUUCAGAUAUGCAGAUGAUACCACCCUUAUGGCAGAAAGUGAAGAGGAACUAAAAAGCCUCUUGAUGAAAGUGAAAGAGGAGAGUGAAAAAGUUGGCUUAAACCUCAACAUUCAGAAAACGAAGAUCAUGGCAUCCGGUCCCAUCACUUCAUGGCAAAUAGAUGGGGAAACAGUAGAAACAGUGUCAGACUUUAUUUUCUUGGGCUCCAAAAUCACUGCAGAUGGUGACUGCAGCCAUGAAAUUAAAAGACGCUUACUCCUUGGAAGAAAAGUUAUGACCAACCUAGAUAGCAUAUUCAAAAGCAGAGACAUUACUUUGCCGAUUAAGGUCUGUCUAGUCAAGGCUGUGAUUUUUCCUGUGGUCAUGUAUGGAUGUGAGAGUUGGACUGUGAAGAAAGCUGAGCAUAGAAUAAUUGAUGCUUUUGAACUGUGGUGUUGGAGAAGACUCUUGAGAGUCCCUUGGACUGCAAGGAGAUCCACCCAGUCCAUUCUGAAGGAGAUCAACCCUGGGAUUUCUUUGGAAGGAAUGAUGCUAAAGCUGAAGCUCCAGUACUUUGGCCACCUCAUGCGAAGAGUUGACUCAUUGGAAAAGACUCUGCUGCUGGGAGGGAUUGGGUGCAGGAGGAGAAGGGGACGACCGAGGAUGAGAUGGCUGGAUGGCAUCACAGACUCGAUGGAGGUGAGUCUGGGUGAACUCUGGGAGUUGGUGAUGGACAGGGAGGCUUGGCAUGCUGCAAUUCAUGGGGUCACAAAGAGUCGGACACGACUGAGCGACUGA
rnacentral:lncRNA from 1 species